UACGGAGGGGGCUAGCGUUGUUCGGAAUUACUGGGCGUAAAGCGCACGUAGGCGGCUUUGUAAGUUAGAGGUGAAAGCCCGGGGCUCAACUCCGGAAUUGCCUUUAAGACUGCAUCGCUAGAACGUCGGAGAGGUAAGUGGAAUUCCGAGUGUAGAGGUGAAAUUCGUAGAUAUUCGGAAGAACACCAGUGGCGAAGGCGACUUACUGGACGACUGUUGACGCUGAGGUGCGUAAGCGUGGGGAGCAAACAGG
rnacentral:rRNA from 1 species